AUGUGGCGGGGGUCGCUGCUGCUGCUGCUGCUGCUGCUCGCAGCGGCCGCGGCCGCUGAACCGGCGUCCACGCUCAUGGGCGCGUCGCAUGAAGACAGGGGCCACGCGAUGGUCCUGCCGGAGACAGGGCCCCCGGUGCAGCGAGAGCUACCUGAGAGAUUUGGCUUCAACAUCUGGUACCAAAGCAAGGGAUUGAAGAAGAUGAGGCCACAUAACGCCCAUGUGAUUGGAGCCAUGGUGACCAGUGAUUCAACAGUGAUUUCGGUGGCCGCAACAACGACCACGAUAGCAGCAACGCCAGGCAAACUCCCAUCGCCGAUGUUGACAAAGACGAACUACUCGGCAUGGGCGAUGAGGACCAAGUGCCUCCUACAAGUCAACGAUGCAUGGGUGUCGUUGACAAUGGCAACUCAUCCAAAGAGGUAA
rnacentral:rRNA from 1 species